rnacentral:rRNA from 1 species
GGGGAAUAUUGCACAAUGGGCGAAAGCCUGAUGCAGCAACGCCGCGUGAGUGAUGAAGGUCUUCGGAUUGUAAAGCUCUGUCUUUUGGGACGAUAAUGACGGUACCAAAGGAGGAAGCCACGGCUAACUACGUGCCAGCAGCCGCGGUAAUACGUAGGUGGCGAGCGUUGUCCGGAUUUACUGGGCGUAAAGGGUGCGUAGGCGGAUGUUUAAGUGAGAUGUGAAAUACCCGGGCUUAACUUGGGUGCUGCAUUUCAAACUGGAUAUCUAGAGUGCAGGAGAGGAGAAUGGAAUUCCUAGUGUAGCGGUGAAAUGCGUAGAGAUUAGGAAGAACACCAGUGGCGAAGGCGAUUCUCUGGACUGUAACUGACGCUGAGGCACGAAAGCGUGG